AGUAAAUAGUGCUCACUGGCAACUGGUUACUAUGUGCAAGGGCUGCCUUACUGAUACGACGCUGCCACGUUCAGUCUAAUUUCAAAAUCGUUGCCUUUCGGCUGGUACUCGUGUCUUUUGGGUCCAUUUGGAAAAGAUUUCUCAGUGGGAGAAAGAGAAAUAAACGGAGUAGAGCGCGUCGCUCUUGUGAGAAAAAAAAACGCCUUCAUGCCGUUCUUCUUAAUUUUCUGUGACAAUUCAUCCAUGAAGUGAGUGACGGCCAGAGAGGUUUCCUGUUGGUUGCCUUUUCUUGUUAACAGCGUCUUCUACGAGGCGAAGGUCCUGGCCAAUGACUUCAUUCUCGUGAGGACUUCUGCUCAGCACAUUCCAAUCUUGAAUCGUACGUGUAUUAUCUGCCUGAAGCCACGCCCACCCGCUGCACGCAAGGCUUCGCGAGUGGGCGGGGUCUGGAGGUCUCAAGGAGCGUCUUACUCCUACUUUAGGAAGGAAAUGGGAUAUGAUCACCUCUCAAGAAAGACGAUUAAAUGCCAGUCACACCUCACUGCCGCCUGCCAGUUGAUUCGCGCACGCACGGUAAAGCACCUUUUUCUUCGUCUUUUAAAACGACCAGUAACCUCG